UAGUUAAUUUGUUAAAUUCUUAAAUGUAACAUCUAUACUUAAAAAAGAAAGCAUGCUUUUUAAUGGAUUUUUAAAAAAUAUAUUCUAUACAAAAUGGGCCUAGUGGAUAAACGAUAAGUCCAUUUAAGUCAAGAUGGAGUUUUUGUUUACUGGCAAGAUGAGCAUAUUGAUUUUUGUAAAAACAAAAUGCUUCGAUGAAAAAAAAAACCAAAAAUCUCUCUGCAAAACUAAAAAAGACGAUUGAGAGUUCUAAAUUCAUCGACAACCUACCUUCUCCGAUCUGUACCAAGUAAUCUUCUCUUACUUUUAUUUAUGAUUAUAUAGACUAAGUAUUUCUAUUUUUACAAAUCUAUGUCAUCGAUGGAUAUCAAAACAUUUUCAUUUCAGUAAUGUUUGCAUGUCGAAUCUGAAGCCAUCUGUGUUAAAAACGAUUAGUCGGAGAAGGUUAUUGAUUUAUGCAUUUUACCACACACCAAUUAACAUGAUGUGCACACUAUCACAAUCGAAUGGUAGUUGAUGUAGCACUUCAGGAUCGAAUCCACAGAGACCAGUGGUUACACGACGAGUAUAUGAGAUAAGAGUAAGGCUAAGACUAAAAAGGAAAAAGGGUAUUGGUUUAUAAAACUAAGCAGAAAUGAAACAAUGCAAAAUGAUGUAAAUAUGCAGAAAGUGACAAUGUAAGAGAAGCAUUGGGCAAGAGGAAAUCGCAGGGAUUUAAGCAAGCAGACAUGGAUAUAAUCAACCUACUUCCGUAGCACUAAUUCUUUAUGCUAGUAAGGGAAAAUAUUAAGAAAUGUCUCGAACUCAAACACGAUAAUAUAAUCAACUUACUUUCUUAGCGCUAACUCUCUAUGUUAUAGAAACCUCCACACUAACUUCCGUUGAGUUUCAGAUUCUAAACAAGCAAUAAGUUUAGGUUUGAUAUGUUCACAAAGCGCAAUAACAUUAACUUCCGUUGGUUAAGGACACUUUGCUCAUCUAAAGUUCUUUCAAGCAUUUAGUUAAACACAUUCGUUCCGUUAAAUAACCUAAGUUCAUAAACUAGUUCAUGACUCUAAUUUCAGCAUUAAGAACACCAAUAGAUGAAGAACCAUUAGAUAAAUCUCUAAAUCUAACAAUCUUAAGUCAACAAGCCAUGAGUUCCCUUUGAAACUCUAAAAACCAAUUGCACAUCUACUCAGCAUUGAAAAAAAAAAAAAAACGAAAAUAUGAUUAUAUACAAAACGAUCACAGAGUUCAAAAGAUUUUUCUGAAAGUUAAAGUCUGCUAUAAAACUAAGAAAACUAAAAAAGUUAAGACCAUCUUUAAUGGGAGAUCUUCCCAUUGAGAUUCUUAAUAUAUAUUAUGUAUAUAUAUGUAUGUAUAUAUUAUAUACCUGUAAAUAAUUGUGGAUCCACAAUUAUUGUGGAAUUCCAUAAAUAAAGGUUUUUAGAGCAUUAUUAUCCAUGGUUUCUUAAGAAGGAGUUUUUAGGGAAAUAUAAGAAACAGUUUCUUAUAUUCUCCUAAGAACUCUUUCCUAAGAAACCCUCGAUAAUGAUGUUCUUAAGAAUUCUUAAAACCCUCUUUUAAGAACCCUUACCUAUGGGGUUCCACAAAAAUUGUGUACUCCACAAUUACUUAUACAUAUAUAUAUAACUCAUAUAUUAAUAACUCCAAUGGGAAGAACCCCACUGGAGGUGGUCUAAGAUUUUUUUUUGGACAACUAAAUUGCAUUAAUUAGAAAAAGAGUUCAAGAAUUACAAUGGCUUGGACUAGAAUGUAAGCAGACCUUAGCAUAUGAGUCCGCAAGCCCAUUAAAUUCUCUCUUGAUGAAAGUGAAGCGACAGAAACAGAAGGACGAACAGGAGAUCGUGGCGAUAUCCGAGAGCACUCUGUAGAGCUCAGUCGGAUGUCGUCCUGAUGAUAACGCUGCAACGAACACUUGAGAAUUUGAUUGGAGCCAGAUGGAGUUGAAGUUGAGAUCAAUCGCGUGGAGGAGAGCGCUUCUUACUGCUAGGGCCUCUGCCAUAAGAGCCGACGAGACGUGAUCCUGAGCAGAGAGCCGUGGGAGGUGCUCUAAGAUAGAUGAUAAAAAUAGAAGGUUUUUGGCUUAUGAAAACAUAUAUAUAUAUAUAUAUAUAUAUAGGUUCUUAAAAAUUAGAUCAAAUGCGGCUGGAAACUGAUAAACCCUAGUUUCUCUCGACUCCCUCUCUCAGCCACCACAAACAAACAAAAAAUUCAUCGCAGUCCGCCGGCGUCCGGUAACCUCUUCCGGCGUCGGAGGUGUCUCUCUCCUUUACUCUUCUUUUCUAUUUGCCCUCCUUGCGAGCUUCUAUGACCCUGACGAUAUGCGAAUGAUCCUGGAGCGCGGCUGAGACUCCUAACUCAGUUCUGACCGCGGCGGAGCACGGCUAGGCAGGUGGAAGACGUCUCUCUGGUACUAAGGAGGUUGCAGGAUGGGUCGGCGUUUUUAGGGCUUGGUUGGAACUUGCCGAUGGUUUUCCCUUUCAAAUUGGUGGUUCUUUCCUGGAGAUGGAGGCGCGUGACUUUGUGUCUCGUCAUCCCACCGGCAGAUCUAGAGGCUGGUCCUGUUGAGACGGCUUGAAGUUCAGAUCCAAAAGGUGUGAGGCACGUGUAGGGGCCGUGGUGCAAUGUCGGUGUUUGCGUCAUCAUCGUCUCUAUUACCGCCAAAUGAACGUAGAGGGAUUCUUCUCUCGACGGCGUGAACAUAGUGCAUACAGUUGAUGGGUGUUGACUGAACUGGCUCUGAUUUUCACGUGCUACUCAGGAUCCAACAACUGUGGAAGGUCGUCUAUGGCCUAACUGGCGGUUGGAGAAUAGAAGCUUUAGUUGGACGAGCAGAGUUGUAACCGGCGUGAAGGCACUCCCGGGAAAGGCUUUCCUCCGGUUCUCGGAGGCAGGACGUGUAAAAACCGUAGCUUUCUUCGACUGGUCAACGGGAGAGUUAGGGUCUUGGUGGCGUACAUGUUUCGAAGCAAAUUAUUUGCAGUAUCGAUUCAGUGUCAAAUCUGGUAGAUUUGCUUCCUCCUAUGCCUGUUUAGAGUUGCUGGAUUGCGGGUUUGUAGAAGUUUCAACCCGGCUUUUUUGGGGAUGGGCGUUUGCUUCAAAUUGGCUGGUUUGCCCUUGUUUAGGAGCUCCGGUUGAUGCUGUUUCGACCCCUCCCCCCAGCAACGUUACAAAGCAUCACAUUCUGUGUCACUCAGAGUUCUCAUAUUGGGAGCAUGCGCCAUCUGGUGUUGCUGUCGUUGGUCAUGCACCACACUCCGAUCUCUUGGUACCAAUGGUUUGGUCUUCAUUUGUUUUUCUUGACUAUGAGGAUCUCUUAACGGCUUAUGAAUGGCUUUGUUAUCUUGUUUUAGUGGUAGAAUUAGGUGGUUUAACAGACGGUUUAUCUCGAGUCGUGAGGUGAAUUUGUUCUCAUCGUGGUGAAAAAUACAAUGUCUUUCGAGAUUAGGUAGCGUAGGAUCCAUCUAAGUGUUUUUAGGUGGUACUAGAUCUUGGUAUUGUAUGUGAAGUUUAAAUCUCUAUGAGGUUAAAAUGUUUGUAAUCACAAUUUGGAUAAUGAAAGUUGUUGUUGAGCUAAAAAAAAAAAAAAAAAAAAAUCAAAUGCCAAAGAUAAAACGAAAAACACCAUUUUCCGCGACUGCGUUUUGAGACGCAGUGUUUGAACCAAAACGCGUUUGCUUCAUCUUCUUCAAGCUCGAGUUCGAGCUUCAUCAAUGGCGGCUGCUGCGGCUCGUCGGAACCACCGGAGAUUGUUGCUGCAUCGCCGUCGUCAGCCGCGUUCACAGGAGCUCUGGGAUUAGCUGUCUCCUCCGUUGAAGUCGUCGCACGAGCCGAGAAGGUGGAAUCGAGAGAGCUGUUCUUCAUACAGCGAGUGUCUGUUCGUCUCAAGCCCUCGAUUCGUGCUGGUCGGUUCGGGGAUCGAGGCUCGGGACCGUGGACGUCAGAACGAGCAAGCUGGAAGACACCCAUCGAACACUUCGUCUUCCUCGUUGCUCCAAGACCCAUCUUCUAUGGUUUUGCACGUUUGAUCACUGUGGUUUUGUGAACUUCUACUUUGGCCCCGAAACUUCUGAAUGUGCAUAUUAAACCUCAUUUUUUCCCCAAUACUUCUAAUUGUGCAUCCAAGCCUAUUUACAUGCAAAAUAUACAUAUGCAACACCUAAUGACCCCUAAAUCCACUUUUUGGACACUAAAAUGACUAUAAACAAAUGAUAAAAACCAACAAAUACGAGACUCAUCAGUUAUUGACUUCACCUUUCCGAUCUAUACAACAAAGUCAUAAGAAUUUUCAAAAGACAACAAAAUGGUAGAUAUAAUAUUAUGUCUUCCUUUUUGAUUAAUAGUUAACCUUUAAAUCUUAUUUUUUUUAGAACUAACUAUCGAGAUCUAUUUUUCUCUCUUUUGUUUUGCAUGUGAAAUCCUACGAGAUUAUAACGAUUCUAAGUGAACGAAUAAGAAUUGAAGCAUUGAAAAUCCGGCCUUGAGAAAUCGAUUGAGAAAAGCAAUGGAAAAAACAUUCAAAUGAUGUUCCACUAUCGAUAGACUUAAAUAAUAUCAAAACUCUGAAGGGUUAUUGAUUAUCAAGAUGCUUUGGAUGGGUUGAACAUCCAUUUUUAUUGGCUUUAAAAACACAUGAGCUUACUCGAAACUGGGUCUAAUUUGUUUGGGUUUAAAUUGUUCUUGCUGUGGAUAUGUCAUAAAAGCGCAAUUAAUUCUGAUUGGUCGAAUUAAUAAGGAAGAAAAUUAUUUUUCAAGGGAAAAAGGCAAUGGCAGAAACUUGUAAACAACUUGAAAACACAGGGGCAUAAUCCCUACUGGCUUUUUGCUUUAAUAAUAUAUACUAAAUUUUGAUAUGU